AAUGCUUUUGCGGCAUGGGAUGGGGUCGCGUCCUAUCAGCUUGUUGGCGGGGUGAUGGCCCACCAAGGCGUUGACGGGUAGCCGGCCUGAGAGGGUGACCGGCCACAUUGGGACUGAGAUACGGCCCAGACUCCUACGGGAGGCAGCAGUGGGGAAUAUUGCACAAUGGGCGCAAGCCUGAUGCAGCGACGCCGCGUGCGGGAUGGAGGCCUUCGGGUUGUAAACCGCUUUUGUUCAAGGGCAAGGCACGGUUUCGGCCGUGUUGAGUGGAUUGUUCGAAUAAGCACCGGCUAACUACGUGCCAGCAGCCGCGGUAAUACGUAGGGUGCGAGCGUUAUCCGGAUUUAUUGGGCGUAAAGGGCUCGUAGGCGGUUCGUCGCGUCCGGUGUGAAAGUCCAUCGCCUAACGGUGGAUCUGCGCCGGGUACGGGCGGGCUGGAGUGCGGUAGGGGAGACUGGAAUUCCCGGUGU
rnacentral:rRNA from 1 species